rnacentral:rRNA from 1 species
AUUGAACGCUGGCGGCAUGCUUUACACAUGCAAGUCGAACGGCAGCGCGGGCUUCGGCCUUGCGGCGAGUGGCGAACGGGUGAGUAAUGCAUCGGAACGUGCCCAGUAGUGGGGGAUAGCCCGGCGAAAGCCGGAUUAAUACCGCAUACGACCUGAGGGUGAAAGCGGGGGACCGAAAGGCCUCGCGCUAUUGGAGCGGCCGAUGUCGGAUUAGCUAGUUGGUGGGGUAAAGGCUUACCAAGGCGACGAUCCGUAGCUGGUCUGAGAGGACGACCAGCCACACUGGAACUGAGACACGGCCCAGACUCCUACGGGAGGCAGCAGUGGGGAAUUUUGGACAAUGGGGGCAACCCUGAUCCAGCCAUGCCGCGUGCGGGAAGAAGGCCUUCGGAUUGUAAACCGCUUUUGUUCGGGAAGAAAUCCUCUGGGCUAAUACCCCGGGGGGAUGACGGUACCGGAAGAAUAAGCACCGGCUAACUACGUG